AUGAACGCUGGCGGCGUGCCUAAUACCUGCAAGUCGAGCGAACGGACGAGAAGCUUGCUUCUCUGAUGUUAGCGGCGGACGGGUGAGUAACACGUGGAUAACCUACCUAUAAGACUGGGAUAACUUCGGGAAACCGUAGCUAAUACCGGAUAAUAUUUUGGACCGCAUGGUUCAAAAGUGAAAGACGGUCUUGCUGUCACUUAUAGAUGGAUCCGCGCUGCAUUAGCUAGUUGGUAAGGUAACGGCUUACCAAGGCAACGAUGCAUAGCCGACCUGAGAGGGUGAUCGGCCACACUGGAACUGGGACACGGUCCAGACUCCUACGGGAGGCAGCAGUAGGGAAUCUUCCGCAAUGGGCGAAAGCCUGACGGAGCAACGCCGCGUGAGUGAUGAAGGUCUUCGGAUCGUAAAACUCUGUUAUUAGGGAAGAACAUAUGUGUAAGUAACUGUGCACAUCUUGACGGUACCUAAUCAGAAAGCCACGGCUAACUACGUG
rnacentral:rRNA from 1 species